GCAACUUUAGCUACGAAAAUAGCGUAGCUGAAGUCGACAUACUUAGAGCUACUUACCGCGGUGUCUUCACUGCAGUAGGUCGACUGUUGCCACUCCCCUGGUGGAGUACCGGAGUCAACGGGAGACGGGGACCCCUGCUGGAUUGCUUGCUCCGGAGGAAUAAGAGCAACAACAGACUGUCAACUGAAAAUGAGGAUAAGUGAAGGUUUUGGUUUUCAAAGUGCGAUGGAAGCAGAGUGCUGGCUUUCAGUCAGAUCUGCUUGAUGCUUCAUGCAGGGGAAGCUUAAGUCCCAAGACUGAGAUCUCGAGAGUCCCAUCUGGGUCACUCUGAAUAUGGACAUAGGACUAUAGCCUUGGACUAAUUCUGAAAGAACUCUUUACAACUACAAAGCUCACCAUUUCUAUUAAGAAUCUGAUCUCAGAACUGUACUCAUGUCUGUAUGCAUACUGAUAUUUUACCCAAUACUCUCUCUUUUUUCUUUUUAAAUAAAUUUUAGGUUAGUUAAUAAGAAUUGGCUGUAAACAUGUAUUUGGGUAAGAUCUGAA